rnacentral:rRNA from 1 species
GAUCAAUGGCUCAGGAUGAACGCUAGCGGCAGGCUUAACACAUGCAAGUCGAGGGGCAGCGGGGAGUAGCAAUACUCCGCCGGCGACCGGCGCACGGGUGCGUAACGCGUAUGCAACCUACCUUUAACAGGGGCAUAACACUGAGAAAUUGGUACUAAUUCCCCAUAACAUUCGAGAAGGCAUCUUCUUGGGUUAAAAACUCCGGUGGUUAAAGAUGGGCAUGCGUUGUAUUAGCUAGUUGGUGAGGUAACGG